rnacentral:rRNA from 1 species
CGGCAGCUUACCAUGCAAGUCGAACGAUGACGGUGGUGCUUGCACUACCUGAUUAGUGGCGAACGGGUGAGUAACACGUGAGUAACCUGCCCCUCACUUCGGGAUAACCUCGGGAAAUCGUGGCUAAUACCGGAUAUGAACUUCUACCGCAUGGUGGUUGUUGGAAAGAUUUAUCGGUGGGGGAUGGACUCGCGGCCUAUCAGCUUGUUGGUGAGGUAAUGGCUCACCAAGGCGAUGACGGGUAGCCGGCCUGAGAGGGCGACCGGCCACACUGGGACUGAGACACGGCCCAGACUCCUACGGGAGGCAGCAGUGGGGAAUAUUGCACAAUGGGCGAAAGCCUGAUGCAGCGACGCCGCGUGGGGGAUGACGGCCUUCGGGUUGUAAACCCCUUUCAGUAGGGAAGAAGCGAAAGUGACGGUACCUGCAGAAGAAGCGCCGGCUAACUACGUGCCAGCAGCCGCGGUAAUACGUAGGGCGCAAGCGUUGUCCGGAAUUAUUGGGCGUAAAGAGCUCGUAGGUGGCUUGUCGCGUCUGCCGUGAAAACCCGAGGCUCAACCUCGGACGUGCGGUGGGUACGGGCAGGCUAGAGUGUGGUAGGGGAGACUGGAACUCCUGGUGUAGCGGUGAAAUGCGCAGAUAUCACGAAGAACACCGAUGGCGAAGGCAGGUCUCUGGGCCAUUACUGACACUGAGGAGCGAAAGCAUGGGUAGCGAACAGGAUUAGAUACCCUGGUAGUCCAUGCCGUAAACGUUGGGCACUAGUGUGGGGGACAUUCCACGUUUUCCGCGCGUAGCUAACGCAUUAAGUGCCCCGCCUGGGGAGUACGGCCGCAAGGCUAAAACUCAAAGGAAUUGACGGGGGCCCCGCCA